GCCUGGUAGUGGGGGACGAAACGUUUCGAAAGGAAACGCUAAUAACCGCAUACGUCCUACGUGAGAAAGCAGGGGACCUUCGGGCCUUGCGCUAUCAGAUGAGCCUAGGUCGGAGUUAGCUAGUUGGUGAGGUAAUGGCUCACCAAGGCGACGAUCCGUAACUGGUCUGAGAGGAUGAUCAGUCACACUGGAACUGAGACACGGUCCAGACUCCUACGGGAGGCAGCAGUA
rnacentral:rRNA from 1 species